rnacentral:lncRNA from 1 species
GGUGGGUUGAACCUGGUUUUGUGGCAUGCCAAACCUCGCACUUUAAUGGCAUUGUUAAAUAUAACAUUAAAAUGACAACAUAAUAUUACAGGACUACAAUACAAAUAAAUAGGAGAACGUACUAGUAUUAGGCAAAGAAACACAUGAAUAAUAGAUAACAAAAGGCAUCAGGUUUAAAAUUCAAUACGCCAAAAACGCGCCUCGUCCACACAAGACUUACCAGUGACGCC